CUAAGGAAAAAAAAAAGAACAGAGGGAACACGGGGGAGAGAAAAGAAAAGAAAAGAAAGAAGGGAAGGGUAAACAGCGAACAGAGGAGGAGAAAGGGGGAGAGAAAAGAAGAAGGGAUUUGAGAAAGGGGGAGAGAGAGAAAAGAAGAGGGAAUUUAGAAAAAAGAAAAAAAGAAUGAAGACGGGGGAGAAGGAAGAUUAAAUGUUUAGGAAACAAGGGUGAGGGAAAGAGAGAGAUUCGUAGCUGUGAGAAACCGAGAAAGGAGAAGUGCAAGUAUUAUCAGGAAGUUUGGGAGAAGAAUUUCGAGUUGGGGUGUUGUUGAUGUCUUGCGUUUUUGAAAGAGAAAGUUGGAGAGUCUGAGGGCUUUUGUCAUAGACUGCAACCUGGGUAGUUCCUGUUUUGAGGGAAGUAAAGCUAGAGGGUUUCGAUUAUUAUUCAGAAGUGAAGGGCUUCCUUUUGGGUUGUCUACUGUCUUGAUUGUUUUGCCUUACAUGUUCUAUUAAUGCUCUUUGGUGCUUGGACGAGCUAAGCUUUUGCAAAGGAGGUUGUUGAGGAAAUCAUAUUGCAGAAUAAGAAAAAAGACCAACUGGAAGCUAGCUUGUUGGAGAGCUGUUAUUGUUGGCUGUGCUGCUAUUGCUGGAGUUGUAAGGAGCUAGCUUGACUGGUGAAUGUUGCUUGACUGCUACUCUUUGCCUUUGUUUUGUUGAAUGCAUUUGUUGAAGCUGGAAUGCAUUUGCUGAUAUUAUGAGUUGUUUAUUUAGUGGGAGAGGAGAGGCAACAGUCAAUAUACCCAAGCAGACAUAGAUAUGAUACGAAAUGAAUGGGCAAAGUACGUAUGUCGUGAAGGCGUACGUGUAGGAGCUAAAGGAAAGCAUAAGAGGAAGUAGGUUGUUGCUGAAGGAAAGCAUCAUUUUUGUGCUUCUCUGCUGGUACAAUAUUCAUGCACUGUGUGGCAUGUUUUGUAACAAAUAGUUUGUAUUUGUAUCAGCUUUUGAUGUCCCAAGUAGAUGGGCAUGCAUUUGAAUUCUUUUCUUCUUUCAAUGUUGGCUUGGAUGAUUGGGAAAUCCUCCCUUUUAAAGUUUGAAUGCUUUUCUUCAAAUAGUAUGAGUUGGAUUACUCAUUUCAUA